CUCAACUCAUUGGUAUAGGAAUAUGAUAUGACGACUUCUUCCCUGAGCUUUCAAGGACGGUCUUCUUCCUCUUCUUUCGCCCUCGCCCCUCCAUGUAGCCAUGAUGUGUUCCUAAGUUUCAGAGCCAAAGACACCGCCCACACUUUUACUGCCCAUCUAUACAACGCUUUGCAUCAAAGAGGGCUCAACGCCUUCAUUGAUGACGACGAGCUCAGAAGAGGAGAGGAAAUCUCGCCACCACUUGUCAAAGCCAUCGAAAACUCUAGGGUUUCGAUCGUUGUACUCUCUAAGAACUACGCGUCUUCCUCGUUGUGCUUGGACGAGCUGAUAAAGAUCCUUGAGUGUAAGCAGAAAAACAAACAAAUGGUUCUGCCCGUGUUUUACAAGCUAGAUCCGUCGCAUGUACGCCAUCAAAUCAAAAGCUUUGGAAAAGCAUUGGCUAAACUUCAAGACAGGGUCAACGAUGACAUCAAGUUGCAGAAAUGGAGGAAAGCCCUCAAUCAACUCGCCAAUUUGUCUGGGUGGCAUAUAGGAAAAGGGAAUGGAUCUAAAUUUAUCCUUGAAAUUGUUCAAGCGGUCUCAAGAAUAGUAAAUCGUACAUACUUAAACGUUGCCAAGUAUCCAGUUGGAAUAGACUCUCGUGUACAUGAGAUCAAUUUGUUGUUAAGUCUUGAGAGGAAUGACAUUACAUGCAUGGUGGGGAUACUUGGUGUUGGAGGAAUCGGUAAGACGACUAUUGCCAAAGAGAUCUAUAACUUGAUUGCUUAUCGGUUUGAAGGUAGUUGUUUUCUUGCAAAUGUUAGAGAAACUGCAAAGCGAGAGUGCGGUUUGGUCCAACUGCAAGAGACACUACUUUCUGAGAUUCUAGAAGACUCUAGAAGUUUGAAGGUUGGCCUUGUUGCUCGAGGAAUCAAUGUGAUAAAGUAUAGGCUUUGUUCUAAAAGGGUUCUUUUAAUUCUUGAUGAUGUGGAUCAGUUGAUCCAAUUAGAAGCAUUAGCUGGGGAAUGUAAUUGGUUUGGUUUAGGAAGUAGAAUCAUCAUAACAACUAGAGAUGAAAAACUCUUGACUAAUCCUCAUGUUGAAUUAAUGUACAAGGUGAAAGAAUUGGAUCACAACGAAGCUCUUCAGCUCUUUUGUUGGAAUGCCUUCAAAAGAGACAAACCUAUUGACGAUUAUGUGGAGCUUACAGAAAAUAUAAUACAUUAUGCUAGGGGCCUUCCACUGGCUUUAACUGUGCUAGGUUCAGAUCUACAUGGUAGAAGUAUAAAUGAAUGGACAAGUGCAUUGGAUAAGUACAAAAGAAGUCCUAACAAAAGUAUUCAAGAAAUACUUAAAGUAAGUUAUGAUGGAUUGGAUGAUAAUGAAAAGGAUAUUUUCCUUGAUAUUGCAUGUUUUUUCAAAGGAAAACCUGCAGAUUAUGUCAUCAAAAUACUAGACGGUUGUGGUUUCUCCUCAGAUAUUGGAAUCAAAGUGCUUAUGGAGAAGUCUCUUAUAACUGUUGAUCAGCCUAACAAAUUUGUAAUGCAUGACUUGCUACAAGAAAUGGGUAGAGAAAUUGUUCGACAAGAAUCACCCACAGAACCUGGGGAACGUAGUAGGUUGUGGUUUCAUGAAGACGUUUGUCAUGUACUAGAAGAAAAUACAGGAACAAAUAAAAUUGAAGGGAUAUUGGUAGAUUUGCCUGAACGAGGCAUGAUACGUGUGAGUCCUCAAGCCCUCACGAAGAUGAAAAGGCUCAGACUGUUUAUAAAUCGUAAUGCACACUUUUCGGAAGGGCCUACUUAUCUCUCUAAUGAAUUAAGAUUGCUUGAUUGGCCUGAAUAUCCUUUACAAUCUUUUCCAUCUAAUUUUCAUGGACGGAAGCUCAUUGUUUUUAGAAUGCGUAAUAGUCUCUUCAAGGAAUUGGAGAGGUUCAAGAAUUUUCAAAACUUGACAGCUAUGGAUGUCUCGAGUUGUCAAUUCCUAACAAAAAUUCCUGAUCUUUCAAGGACCCCAAAUUUAGAAGAAUUGACUGUUGAUAAUUGUACAAGUUUAGUUGAGGUUCAUCAUUCUGUUGGAUUACUUGAUAAGCUUGUCAUUUUGAGACUUGUAGGAUGCUCUAACCUUAGGAGCUUUCCAAGAAGGCUGAAGUUGAGAUCUCUAGAAAGUCUUAUGCUUGAAGAUUGCACAAGGCUUGAGAACUUUCCUGAAAUUGAGUGUAAAAUGGAAAGGUUAGGAUACAUUGGCCUAAAAUGCACUCCUAUAAAAGAAUUGCCUUUAUCUAUUGAGUGUGCCGUUGGGCUUCAAGAUUUAAAUCUAGAAGGUUGUGAAAACCUUAUGAAUCUCCCAAGUAGCAUUCAUCAGCUGAAACGUCUAAAGAGACUUUCUCUCAGAGAUUGUUCAAAAUUUGUCAAGUUUCCAUCGAAAGUGGGGGAUAACAGUCUAUCUAUGCCCUCUAUUGCGUCUACAAAGGAACCUGAAAUUUUGUCAAGUUCAGAAUUAAACUUUUGCCCGCCUCCAUUAAAUUCAUGCGUUUGUAAUGAUGGUUGUUCCUCAAGUGUAUUUCCGACACUGGGAAGGUUGGAUCUUGGAAACUGUGCCCUAUCGAAAUCAGAUUUCUUUAUGACGAUUAAUUGCAUUUCCUCGUUGGAACAAUUAGAUCUAUCAGGAAGCGAUUUUGUUAGCAUUCCUGCAUUCAUCAAAAGAUUUGUUGGAUUGAGGUGCCUAAAAGUGGCUGAUUGCAAGCAACUUCAAGAAAUUUUAGAACUUCCACCAAAAAUAGAAGAUAUAGAUGCAAGUGGGUGCAUAUCAUUGGAAAGAUUUUUUGUAUUAUCAAAAAGAUUUCAAUUUGAUACAUGCCACUUCCCGGGGCUUGAAUGGAUUGACUUGUCGAGGUGCCAUAAAUUGCUUGAGAAUGUAGGGAAUGAUGUGGAAAAUCUUUUAUUGGAUGAGGGAUCUUUUGAGGACCAUCAAUUUGGCAUUAUAUAUCCGGGAAAUAAGAUUCCAAAUUGGUUUUGCCAUCUUAAGGAGGCUUCAAAUGCUAAUAAAUGCGAAAUAGAUAUUUACCAGCCUUCACAUUUGGAUGGGGAGAUCAGAGGAAUUGCUGUGUGUGUUGUUGUUGGAAUAAAGGAUGGACAAAUACCCAUUCACGCUCUUUGUAAUGUUGAGAUCAUCAUUGAUGGUUUACCAAGGUAUGGUGACGACAAAGCAUUUCAUUUAUCAGGCCCAGAUCAUGUGUGGUUUCUAUACCAUGUUCCUGAAUUUAAUGAGCUAAAGGGGGACAAUCUGCGAGUUAAGUUUUGGUCCUCCACAAGUUCAGUGUUCUUCAAAAGUUGUGGAGCACAUCUAGUUCGCAGGAAUGAAGAGAAAGCGAAAGGGAAAAGUCAAAUGUUGAGUCCUUUGCAUCGAGGUGUUCUCCAAAAGGAUGUGGAUGUACUUGACGGAAAUAUAGAAAAUUCAGUGGAUUUCAUGGAUGGUAUUCAACCUACUAAAAGACGCCAUGAUGAUGAUGAUGAUAAUGGUAACUUGGAAUCCAAUUGGUACCCACAUCAUAAGAGGUGUGUUUCAACCUUGGGCAUCAGAAUUUCAGAUGCAGAGGAUACUUCCACUUUGUGAAUCACAACCACAUCAAUCAAAUCACACCACUGACACCAGCACUUAAACCUACAGGCGUUUCCCUCACUAAGGACCAAUAGUGCUUGAUAACUCUGAUAGAUUUGGUGGGGGGUGCCAUAUGGGUUGUUCUGCCCAAAGAUUAGCUCUGUUUCUAAAUUUAGGAAGUACAAGAAGUUGGGGGAAUGGAAGAGUUGGAAAAUGAAAUCCAACGAAGGAUCAAGCAAUCCAAAGGUUCUUAUGAUAGUCAAUUAUAGAAAUAGGUUGGUCUUUUCAAUUGUUUUUUAAUGUUUAAUUUUUAAAAAAUACUGCUGAUGUGGCAUAAUGAUGUGGCAGACCAUUAUGUUUUUGGACAAAACAUGGAUGGAGGGACUGAUUCUGAUAACGAGACAACGCUAGGUAUUACCUGUGAUAAUUUUUGAAACCGAGAUACCUAUUUGAUAAUGGUCCAAAGCACUGAUACCAAAAUUGCAUUUAA